CAGAGAGCCACGGGCAAGGGGCUGAGCAGAGGGGGGUCCGAUGCCAGUUGCUUAAAAAUGCCCCUGUAGCAUCAAGAGGUGCCAGAACCGAGUCAACUUAGUUGAGAAGCAGUGACACCCACAACCAUACCCCAAAUAAGUUGAGCCUCCACCUCCGAAGAGUCUUCCCUGGGCCAGACAACAGCCAAGGCGAGAGUGAUGUCUAGUCAAAUUCCCCGCUACACUGGAGAAUGAGGAGCCCCAGAGAGAAAUCCUCCCGAGAACCAGAAAACGGACAGCGGUGGCAGUCUGCUCCCAGAACUGAGCUUCCCAACAGACAGAAGCCAGAGAUUCCCCUAGCCUGGAGACAUUUUUCUGAAGACCUGAAGACGUUGGAAAAGGAGAAAAAGUGGGACAACCCCCUGCAGCAGGCCUCCGAGCUGCCGAGAGCCAACGCCAAACGAAAGCCUUGAGGAAAAGUUACCGACAGACAACCCUGAAUAUGUCAUCCAGCAACAAGGCCACCACAGUCACCAUGAAACAAAGGUCUUCUGGGGACCCUGGGAUCUUAUGAAGAGCAGGGUGAGUGGGUGGUUUCGGGUUGGAGUGCCCUGCUCACCUGGAAGUUCCCACACAAGUUCCCACGCCCAUGGAAGAAAGUGAAUUAUCCACGUGGCCACUCAGUCAGCCACCAGCACAUGUCUGCUAUGUCUGUUGUCUUCAGCAGUAUCUAGGGACCCCACAUUAUAACAUAGGAGCCCUGGCCCCAGGGAACUAGUGAGGUAAGUGGGGAUGGCCCAGAGGAUGAGGUGGUUUGCAACUCAAGCAGUGCUCAACAUGGCCCUGAUUUGGGCGCUGAGGGAAUCCAGCAGGCUCCCUUUCCUCGUGAAGGAAUGUGCUCACAGAAGAAAAUUCUACCUCAAGAGUUGGGAAGAAACAGAGUUCACAGGGUGGAUGAGAACGUGAUCUAAAGGAGUGAGGGAUGGUUUCUCACAAGUGGUCCUUUGCCCAGAAUGCAUACAGAGAUGGGCGGGGAACAAGAGCAGGAACCAGGAGGUGAGCAGACACAGAGGAGCUGUAUGAUAUGUGCAAGGCACGGGGUUCCAUUCCCAGCACUGCAGAGAAAGAAAAAAAAAACUAAUUGCACACUUUAAAUGGAUUGGCUCCACCUCAAGAAAGCUAACUUAAAAAGAAAAGGAAAGGAAGGUGGAAUUUUCAGUCACAGAGGGCUCCGGGGCACGGGAAGGGCAGGGUGGGAGGCAGACCCCGACGCAGGCUUACACUCCUCCUCCUGCCCAGGAAGAAGGCCGCAGCCCGAGAUUGGAACGGGGCAGCCCGAGCUCGCGCGGAGCGCCUGUCUCCCAGCCUGAGGUGCAGUGCUGCAUCUCUGGUCAGUUGGGAGUCUGAGAUGAAGCACUGUAGCUCAGGAAGGGAGAAGUUGUUCUGCAGCCGUCUCCGGGACGUGGUAAGUGUUGACGCGGUGGGGUAGUGGGUCCAAGAGGUUGUCCCUAGACUCCGCCCCAGCAGUCCAUGGUGAUGUUCCCGAGAUAAAGCCGCACCAGUAGCCACUGCUCCUGGGCAUCCGUAACAGUAGGCGGUGGUCCAUUCAGUGGGGACCGGUACCGACACCUGCCUCCCCUUUCUCUUCCUGAGCCCACAGAAGACACUGCUAAUAAAUCAAGGCAUCUAUCCGUUCUGGGAGGGUUCCCUCACACCCUCAGAAUCCUUCUUAACACUGCAGACUCAGUUACCCACCCUAAGUGAACCUAGGCUGAACCCCAUUCAUCUCUGGAGGUCAUCAGACAACCCCUAACGGCUCUUCCGUCCUGGAGAUAGCGACCCAGGCCCCUGGCAGCCCAACACAUUGUAGAUGACAGUGUCAUGUUGCUAGGCGUGGAAUCACAGUCUUCACUGUUCGGGCCGCUAACCCUGGCUCCGUGCUAUUGCCUAAACCAGCCCAGGCAUUUCACAAAUGUGGACCCUGUCCCAGAGGCUUCCGAGAAGCAUGGGGCAGCAAAGGCGAGCCACUGGGAUACACACAUUGGCAUUUAGCCUCCCGCACCUGGUCAGAGGAAGGCGACCUACCUCACAGAGGAGAAAACUAAGUCUUAGUUAAGUAACUGGUCUUAGGUCCCAGACGGAUGUACUGAGCUGGGGGCUACCUUUUUAUCCACUGCGAGACUAUGGGACCUGGAGCCGGAGAGUAGGAAAAUGGAACAAACCUGACUCUGGUCUUGCUUACUCUCUGCUAUAGUAACAAAGGCAGAACCACACACAGGUCUAAGAGUCCCGUGGCCUCGCGUUCUUCACGCUGGCCCCUCACCCAGCAGGUCCUAUCUGAUGCCCCUUUACAGCCAAGGCUCAGAAUUUAAGGGACCUGCUGGAGGUCAGUGGGAGAAAGUUGCCAGAGUCUGGGAACUGACGUCACCCAAACUCGUUUAAAUUCCCCGCUCCUGACCUAUGGCAGUAGGGGGAAGGGACUGGUCCCAGACGUUCCCUAGUUCUCUGAUCGAUUCUCAUGAACAUCAGCAGGCUUCUUUGACCCCAAGGAAGGUACUUUCCAAGCCUCUUCAAACUCUAGUCGCUCUUCCCAGGGCAGGAAGCUGCACCCCGGGAGUCGCAGCACCCCUCGCUGGCUGCCAGAGCUAGGGCUGGGCGCAGAGAAAACUGCUGGUCCCCAGGGGUGUGGCGGGCGCUGAAGGCCUCUCCCUCCCUCCCACCUUGUCCUCACGGUCCAGUUUUCCCAGGAAUCCCUUGGAUGCUAAGAUGGGGAUUCCUGGAAAUACUGUUCUUGAGGUCAUGGCUUAGCUGCUGGAUCUGCCUCCUUCCCACCCUGGCAUUUCCUCUCUGGGAUGAGGGAGGAGAAGGCCGUACACUGGAGGUAAGCGGACUCGGGAUAGCCCUUCUGACCUUUGCGUUGCUUUCCUUUCCACUGUGCCCGUAUUUCAUAAUACCCUCGGGAGGCUGGAUGUGGGAACCUCAGAACCGACUGGCUCUUGAGAAACUUGUCCCAGUGGUUGAAGCAGGACUCUGAGGCCGCGCGGCCCCUCCACUCUGACCCUCCGCAUUGCUUCCCUGCAGGCCUUACGGUAAUGAGGGACCGCAGGCCCAUAUCCACAUUAUUAAGAAAGUCAUACACAAAUUUAUUUUAAAAUUUUAUUAAAUCAGGUAAACGGAAAACCAUUCAUCUCUGGUGGAUUUUGAGUGCAACAGCCACAGAAAACUGAGCUUUCGGGGUAGAAAAUACAAGAUUAGGAGCGCCCCCUGGUGGUAUUUUUGCCCACUUUGGGAAGCCUGUGAUUCCCUAUUCUCUGCGCAGGAAUCUCUGCUGCCUGCCUUUCCGUUUCUACACACUCCUGCCAAAGUUCUUUCUGUCCAAUCACUUUUGAGUCACAAACAUGCUUAAGUCUUAUUUAUCCCUUGCCAGAGAUGCUUCCGCGGCUUACAGUUGGCUUUUCUUUAGGUCCAAACCAGGGCAAGUUCACUCAGACAGCAAAAAGCAGAACCAGGAUAGGUUUUAAGUUCCAUGGCCCCUAGCAUUGACUAUCUGAGCCGAACAGGAAAGUAGGAGCAAGUAAUACUCCCUUUUAGCUCCCUGCCCCUCAACUCUUGGGAGUUCUUUUUCAUUUUUCCUUAAUAAAUCUCUGUUGUGCUUUAAAAAAAAAAAUCUAGUUUGAGGCCAGCCUGGUCUGCACAGUUGAGUUUCAGGACAGCCAGAGUAACAUAGUAUUACAUGUCUCUUGGUAGUGAGAUCCUGUUUCAAAAAAAAAAAAUCUAGAGCCAGAAUAUAGUUCAGUUGGUAGAGUGCCUGCCUGGAAUGCGUGAAUCCCUGGGUUCCGUGCCUAACACAUCAGGUGUGGCGAUACAUGUCCAUAAUCCCAGCACAUGGCAGGUAGAGGCAGGAGGAUCAGAAAUGUACAGUCAUCCUUGGCUGAAUAGUGAGUUUGAGGCCAGUCUAGGCUCUCAUGAGACCCUCCUGAGGGAAGGAAGGGGAAGCAAAAAGUACAAAAAUUUAAAAAUAGAAAGGCCGCCUCUCCAGUUGCAUUAUGGGAUGCUGAAAUGUCCAAAUCCUUGAUGACAUUUAGGUAUAAAACUAGAACUUGGGCUGGGGAGAUAAGGUGGCUGAUCACUAAAGGCACUUGUCACCCAAAUCAAACCAGAACCACGUGACAGGAGGAGAAAACUGACUCCUGAAAGCUGUCCUGACGUCCACGUGCAUGCCGUGCUAUGCGCAGCAAACUCCUCUGACCUGAACGUGUGUGCAGUGCUGUGCGCAGCAAACUGGCACAUGCAUAAUUAAAAUAAAUGUGAAGGGAAAAACUAGAACUUUGGGAGCGAGGGGGAUGCCCAGUCAGGCAAGUGCUGGGUGCGGAUGCCCAGCGCCUUUACAGAAAGCCAGCCGUGGGGUCACGUUUAUCAUCCUGGUUUCAGGGAGAGGAGAGACAGGAGGACCCUGGAGCUCUGCUGUCAGCCAGGCUGGUCAGAAUUGGUGGCUCCAGGUUUAGUGAGAAACAAUAUCUCAAAACCACAAGGUAGAGAGUGAUAGAGGCCACUAGUCCUGUGCACAUGUUCGUGCACACUCACGCGCGCGCACACACACGCACCUUAGAACUCUUCUUUAACUGUCCCUGGUUAAAGGAAUGGUUGGUGAGUUGGUAGAGGCAGCAACCGCCAUCUCUCCACAGCCCUCACUUUUGGGCAUAGCACCAUAUCUCUAGAGACCAGGUGGCUCCCAGGAGCACACCAAGCUGUGCUCUUAGCAGGCAUCCGGAAGACAUUCCUGAAGAGAGACCCCCCUCCUGCUGCUGACCCCACUGUCUGACCCCUUGUUACACACAUCCUCGCCGGGUCCUCUCACCACCCAGUGACGUAACACACAGGGAACCCAGGGCUAACAGGGUAGGACACCCUGGGGCCACACUCAGGAGUAGUGACCCUAGGAUUCAGCCAACGCUUACAGUUCCCCCACCAUUGGGCCUGGCCUCCUCAGCCUGCCCCCAGUGGCUUUCCCACUGGGGACGAACCACAAGCCUUACUCUCUGUGUUCUUCAACCGUAAUAAAGUGCUGGACCUUUGCUUCA